GAGCCUGAGCGUGAGUUGCCGGAGAUCUUCACCGGUGGAAUAGGCACCUGUCCAAGAAACAAUACACACACAAAAGCAGAGAGGAGAAUAAAAGAAAAAGUGCUUUGGUUCCAAAAAAUUUUUAGUACAGUUACAGCUUAAGCCUAUAAAAUAAAAAUAGAAAGAAAUAGAAAGAAUAAAAGGAGAGAGAACAGUGCUAAGAGGUCAGUGCAGAAUGAAAGUGCCCGGGGUAAUAUUCCGGGAGCACCAAGUUGGUCGGAUUUGCGGGGGGACAAAACUGUCCAAAAGGAGCCGGUUCAAAAAGUGACCGGAGAAGGCUCACGCGCGGCGCGUGAAAGUCGGCCGGCGGCGCGUGUGCUAUCGUUACCGGCGCGUGGGGAAGAAUCCGGCGGUGGGAUUUGCAGGGGUUGCGCGCCUGACGCUAAGCGUCCCGAUGGUGAGGGGGGUGUCGAAGAAAAACACCGAAUCUUCGCCGGAACAGUGUUCCGGGCAAAGAAAGGGGGGAUAUAGAUAAGGGUACUUACCUGUGGCUUCCGGCGAGACGGUGGUGGUGCCGGUACCGAUGGUGUUGCCCUGUAAAAGGGGAAAGGAAAAGGGGAAGGGGAAGGGGAAGAACACUG
rnacentral:lncRNA from 1 species